UGCUUCAUUUGUAAUUAACUUUUAGAAGCAAAGAAGCAGCUUCUACACGGAGCAAAAAAUCUCGACUUCUCUCUUCUAUCAGAAGUAUCUUUUUUGCUUCUCCUCGAUCUGUAUGUGUAAAAAAAUAAUUUUUCUUUCCUCCUCAUCUUCCUUCCCUCUCGUCUUCCCCAAAACAAUAACCUAAAACUCUGUACUUUGACAUGAGAAUUAAAAUCAAAAGAGCCGUGGGAGAAGAACAAGCUAGAAUUUUUGUUUUCUUUCUCUCAUCAUCACUAAUUCAAGGGUUGAGUUUUCUAUAUGGGUCUUGAUGUAUUAGGAGAAACUGAUUUUUAGUUAACCCGUUGAACUAUUUCAACAACUGCAAAUACUUGACGAAGCCUAAAGACGAUAUAAGUUCUCAAUUUUUCAGAGAUUUGAAGAUAAAGAAAAAGAAGUGUCUACAUGCAGUUAUUUCAGAUGCAUUUGUACAUGACGCGAUCCGUGCUCGGUCUGUGUUGUUGUUAGUGCAUGAAGGGAUAUGGCGCUCUGCGAAGCAUCCAUUUGUUGUUCCCGUCUUACAUCGUUAAGUUACGUUUUGUA